AUGUGAGGCAAACAUACACUGAAAGAAGCCGUAUUAGCCGCACUUUGGUUUGGAUGCAAUGCCCAAAUAAACGACCCAUGCAGAGCAAAAAUUGAAGACACGCCAACGGUUAACUGUUCCGUAUCCUGCAGGAAAACUGUCGGUUUUUACAGAAUCCGUGGAUUUGAACUCCCUUGGCAUGUGAGAGACUGUGGAAAUUCUUCCUCGUUGACCUGCCUGACUAAAACUCGUGGCUACAAGGGCGAUGAGAAGGCCGGAGUGGAUGGCAUUAUCUGUCACUGCAACACCGACUACUGUAACCAUGCCGUGAAAACGAGCAGGAGCCAACCUACAUCGACACUGAUAGCGUGUUCCUUACUGGUCAGCGUACUUGGUAUUGAUGCCGUUAAGUAAGGUGGUGCUAGCCACUGACUAGGGAUAAAUAAGGACAGUAAUAAGGAUAACUAGGGAUAGG